CGGAUUGAAUUGAUAUUUUUGGAUAAUAUUUUAAACAUAUCGCUAUUUAAUAAGACAAUGAUUUUUUUUCCAAUUUUGAUAUUUUGAAGCCCACCCAACCCCUUAAAUGUUUUAAUUAUCAGUCGGUCAUUACAAUCGAUUAGAUUUUUUUAAAUGGAUUUAUGCAAGAAUUCUAUGAACCCUAAAAUAUUCUAAUGUUAUUAAAUAAAAUUUAAUGCAUAAAAUAUGGUACGUGACUGCAGCUGAAUUGAUUUUAUAUUGGUUUUGAAUAUUAAUAAUGAUUAGCUGUUGUAUAUAUAUAUUUUUAAUAUGUAAACUGCAAAAAAAAUAUUUCAGCAAUUUAAUAUAUUAUAAAAACUCAUUAUGCUAAACUUAUUGUAAUUACACUCCACCCCAUAUCGCUACAAACGCAUUGCCGAGUAUAUAAGUUCAUACAUACAUACAUACAUACAAUUUUAUCUGCAUUUAUCAGUAGCUAUGUGUUUUAUCUUACAUUGUGUGUCUUCGCAUGGAUUUGGCGAUAUGAAGCGAUUGACUAGAGUUCGUGAAUGUGGGUCACCUGCAGCACUUGACUCUCUGCCAGUUAGUUCAAUUGAAUUUAAUUUUAAUUUCCUUGUUUCUCCUUCUGGCUGCGGCGAGCGUGUGAGCGAGCGACGAAACACCUCGACUCAUUUUUACACGUUUAAUUUACUUUUUAUUUUAUUUGCAUUUGCAUUUUCUAUAUUUGUUUUUGUUUUUGUCAUUUACUUCCACACAUUUGCCGCAUCGCUAGUCCCAUCAUCACAUCAUAGUACUUGUACUUUAGGUACUUGGAUCGGAUUCAGAGAGAGAGUGGCGUCCGUGCUGGGUGCUCGAAUAAAGUGACUGACUGUGUGACUAUUUGAAACUGUGGCAACAGCAACAACAAUAGCAACAAAAACAGUAAUGACGGCAACAACACAAAAAAUGUCAAACAUUACACAGAGUGUAGGGCAACCAAGGCGCGCGUAUGUGAGUGUAUGUGUGUGCGUGUGACGGUGUCAGCGCAGUGAAGGAAUUGUGUGGGAGCUGUAUUAGGGCGUGCAUGCACGCAAUUGGCUUCCGUGUGUUGGAUUGCAAGUUGCUGUUGAGUUUGUUUUUCGUUUUUUAAUUUCAAUAACGCUCCCAUCGCAUGCCACAACAGUCGCAGUCUUUGGUCUUCUGAGUAGUCAGCCUUCGUUGAUCAUCGGGGAGUGACGUUGACCUUUUGACAUCCAAGUAAUAUCAAAAAGUUUUCAUUUUCUCAAUUUGUACACACAAUUCUCUGUCUGCUGAGUAGUUUGUGAAAAGUUUAUUUCAAUUUCAAGAUUAAUGCAUAUUGGCAGACCCAUACCAUUGUCUAAAGGUUAUGCACAAAAAUUCAUUGAAGAUAUUUAAGGGCAGCCGGGAGGGCGAUUAUUCUCUCUGUAUUACCAUAAUUCGUAAAAAAUUAUAAAGAUUUCUUGAAAAAAAUUUAUUGAAUUUUUUCUUUUAUUAUAUUUUUAAUUAAAUAACAUUUUCAUAUAUCUGUUUCAUAAUAUUGAUUAUUAUGUAUAUUUUUAUUAAAAUCUUAGAAAAGUUCGAAGCAUGCAGUCUCGUCCAUUAUUUUUGCUAUGGAUUUUUUCAAAAAUGGAAAAAAAGUGAAAUUUUAGAAAAUAUCGCAAAAAUGUGGAAGAAAUGAUCUUUGAAUAGGUCUCCACUCCGCAAAUUAUAUCAUACUAGCUGACUCAGCAGUCGUUGCACUGCGUGAAAUUAUUUGUUUUGCAAACAAAGUUGAAUUUGUAUAGUGUUGGAAAACAUUUAUUUGCGAUUUUUCUAAUUUUUUUUCCAAUGUAACGCAGCUUAAUAAACAACAUUUUUUGUUUUCUGUUCCGGUGCGUAAAUGUACAGAGAAGAUGAUUUUUCAACUCGUGAAUGAAAUUUAUGCCUCACACCUCCAGCGACUGUCUUUGAGACCUGUUGAUUGUCAUCCCAAAUGCAAGUCUCAUUGGAAACUGAAUACGUUUGAACUGAAAUGGCAAAUCGUUGGAACUCAUAGAAAUUCGUGGAAUCAAGCAUUCUGCCCCCUUUUCUUUGCAGAUCUUCUGCGGUGCUAUCCUGUUGCAGGAACACACGCAUAUUCAUCAUCAAUCAUAUGGUUUUCGCGUGCCACCACAAGUACGAUGACUUGAGACAUGCGUUCAAUUCCUCCGCCGCUGUUGAUUUCGAAAUAACUGAAUGUGUUUGUCAAUAACGAUAUCAUUACGCCACCAAAGCGAUGAUUAUUAUUCCACAGAUCUUUCAUUGUUCUGUCAAGUGCUUCUAGAAAAUUGCGCUCAUCUCAUAUAUGUUUCAUAGAUUUGCAUGUUUAACUGAAGCUACAGUGUCGUAUGUGCCGUUCUUCCAAC